ensembl:rRNA 5S_rRNA 5S ribosomal RNA
CUCUAUGGCCAUAUCGUCCUGAACGCGCCCGAUCUUGUCUGAUCUCGGAAGCUAAGCAGGGUCAGGCCUGGUUAGUACUUGGAUGGGAGGGUAAGUUGGAAGCCUAGCGCCCACAGCCA